UCGGGGUUAUUUUUUUUUGGCUUAUCAAACCAACGUAUACCUAUUCUUUCUUUUAUGACUUCUAGUAGAGAAAUUAUAGUAUUGCAAUAUUUUUUAUAUUUUUUAUUUUGCGAUCAUUGAAAGCAAUCUUCAGUGACACAAAGAUCUUCCCACAACAACCUUCAUUACGAUAGAAACGCGGGACAUAAAAAAUCAAACAAAAGGCAAAGCCUUAUUCCUGUUUACAGAAGAAAGAAAAAGUUGUAAUAUAUUUUAUAUACAUACUAUUCUCAAAUAUAUCCAAAAUUAACUCAAACAAUAAAAAAAAAGAAAUAUAUUUACAUAAAAGUGAGAAAGAAAACAUCAUUUACAUCACUAAACACCAUCCACUGCCUUCACCUCAGAAGUUAAUGUGUGAACUUCAAAUGAUUAGAAUUUACAUAUGUUGUUUUUUCUCAUACCUACCUUCAUAAACAAUUAAAUGUAUAAUUAUAUGCAAUUAUAGUGUGUAAUACAUAAAGUAUAAUAUAUAUAAAUCCUAAAUAAUAUAAUUUUAUAAAGCAAGAAUUUGGACAUUACUAAAUAUGAGAUUGUAAAAAUGCAUCAACAAGUUUCUCAAUUUAGUUGACGCAGAAGAAGUAAAAUAUAAUACCAGCACUUCAACACUAAAAAAACAUAUGAGAACUAAAAAAAUAAAUAUAUAUAUAUAUAUAUAUAUAAAAGAAUUGUAUACCUAAUUUGUAGAUGUAGAAACUAUCCUGUCACUUGAAAAAUAUAACUUCAAAUUCAUUUUUUGAAGUAUCUUGAAG
rnacentral:lncRNA from 1 species